rnacentral:lncRNA from 1 species
CACAGUUUAACAAUUGAAAAUAGACUCAUAACAGACCCCCCUUCUUAGGAAACCUUGUCCUCAAGAUUAUGAAAUCGCCUCCUUAUGGUGUCUAGGUCUUCUCAGGUAGCAUCUUCCUCGUUGGCCCCAGGCCAUUGUACCAAGACCUGAACUCCGGCAACGUUUUCCUUUCUUUUCAGCCUCUUUUGCAAGAUUCUCUCAGGUUCGAGUUCCAAGGAGCCUUCAGACGUGAUGAGCGAUAGGUGUGCACAAGCUUGUAUUCCUUCUCCUAGCUUUCUCUUGAGGCACAAAAUAUGAAACAAAGGAUAGAUCUUAGCUUCAGGAGGUAGAUCGAGCUCAUAUGCGACUUGACCCACCCUUCAAAUCACUCUAAAAGGCUGAAAAUAUCUCGGUACAAUCUUCAAGUUCCUUCGCAAUGCUACUGUCAUUUGUUGAUACAGCCGUAACUUGAGGUAAACCAAGUCUCCAAUUUCAAACUCUUAGUACCUCCUUGUUUUAUCAGCAAAAUAUUUCAUCUUUGAUUAGGCUUCCUGCAGGUUCUCCUUGAUGAGUUUAGCAAUAAACUCUCGUGUUCGAAGUUCUUUAUCAAUACCUUUCACUUUAGUGGAUCCUACCUCAUAUGGUAACAUUCGAGGUGGUAGCUGACCAUAAAUAGCUUCAAAAGGUGUUACCUUCAUGGAUGUAUGUACUGAGGUAUUAUAGGAAUACUCAGCUAAAGGUAACCACUUUGCCCAAUCUUUCGAUUUGUCACUUGAAAAACAUUGGAGGUAGCAUUCAAGCACUUUAUUCAUGGCCUUUGUUUGGCCAUCCGUUCGAGGAUGAUAGGCUGUGCUAAGUAAUAAAUCUAUUCCACAUAACCUUAAUAGUUCCUUCCAAAAAUUGCUUGUAAACACAGGAUCUCGAUCACUAAAAAUUGUUUGUGGUAGCCCGUGUAAUUUGAAAACAUUAUCCAUAAAAACUCUAGCCACCGUUAGUGCUGUGUAUGGAUGAUUAAUAGGCAUAAAAUGAGAAUACUUACUUAGCCUAUCCACCACCACAAGGGUCAUUGUCUUUUCUCCUGAGGGGGGUAGACCCUCAAUGAAAUCUAUGCUGAUAUCUUCCUAGUUUUUGCUAGGUAUCGGUAAAGGCUGAAGCAACCCCAUAGGGUGGAGGGCUUUUACUUUAUUCCUCUAGUAUACAUCACAUGCCUUGACAUGUGUUAUGACAUCAUUUUGCAAACCAGGCCAAUAAAAUUCCUUUUUUGUUAUUGUGUGGGUCUUUAAUACACUUGUGUGGCCCCCUAAUGGACUGACGUGGAACUAGUGCAGGAUUUGCUGCUGGAAGGGAACCAAUGAUCGAGAUGUAGUCUAUUCUCGUAAAAGAGUAACUCAUUUCAGAGUUGGUAAUGAGUUAGGUCCAAUUCUCCAUGAUGGUAGUGGCUUAUCAACUUCUGCAACAUGGGGUCCUGAAGGUAAGCCUUCUUCAACUCUUCUAUCCACUGAGCUUGUAAAAUGCUGAUGGCUUGGUUUUGGAUAAUUCGAUUUUUUUUGUGUGGUUUGGUUUGUGGUUGGGAUUAGUAUUUGGUCUCUGUUUGGGUCUUGGGGUUCUAAGUAUUGCACCCGAGAUAAGGCAUCAGCUGCUGCAUUACUCUUGCCACUUCUAUAUUCCACCAUGAAGUCAUACCCAAGCAAUUUAAAGACCUAUUUUUGUUGUGAGAGGGUCCCUACCCUUUGUUUCAGCAAGUAUUCGAGUGCCUUCUGGUCAGUAUGUACCUUGAAGGACUGUCCCAACAGGUAGUGUCUCUAUUUCCUCACUGCCAUCACUAGUGCCAAUAAUUCCUUUUCAUAAGUGGAAAGGUUCAGAUUCCACCCUUUUAAAGACUGGCUAAAAUAUGCUAUUGGUUGCCCCUCUUGCAUUAAAACAGCUCCCAAUGCUUCCCCUGAUGCAUCACAUUCCACUACAAAAGUUUUAAUAAAAUUAGGUAAGCUGAGCAUUGGUGGCCUUACCAUCGCCUCCUUAAGUCUCUCAAAUGCUCCCUGUGCUUGAUCAUUCCAAGAAAAAGAGUUUUUCUUUACAAAAGCUGUUAGUGGGGCUGUUAUUGCUCCAUACCCCUUGACAAAUUUCUUGUAAUAUCCUGUGAGUCCUAAAAAACCUCUUAGUGCCUUAAGGUUCUUAGGAGUUGGCCAUUCUUGUAUUGCAACCAGCUUUUGAGGACCUAAUUUAACUCCUUCCUUUGAGAUAAUGUGUCCCAAGUACUCCACCUCUUUAAUUCCAAAAACACACUUUGACAGCUUUGCAAAAAACUUGUUAGCUUAUAAUAACUCCAAGACUCUUGUGUUAUGUUGUACAUGCUCCUGCAUAGACUUGCUAUAGACUAAGAUAUCAUAAAAAAACAUGAGCAAAAACUUCCUCAAAUAGGGUCUAAAUACUUCAUUCAUCACCCCUUGAAAUGUAGAUGGUGCAUUAGUAAGCACAAAGGGCAUUACUAAAAACUCAUAAUGCCCCUUAUGUGUCUGGAAGGCAGUUUUGGGGAUGUCAUCAGGAUUCAUGCGUAUCUGAUGAUAUCUUGAUUUCAAAUCUAAUUUAGAAAACACAUCAACUCCCCCUAGCUCAUCAAGCAACUCAUCAAUGUUUGGAAUAGGAUACUUAUCUUUUAUGGUCUCCUUGUUGAGUGCACGAUAAUCCACACACAUUUGCCAACUCCCAUAAGCUUUUCUCACAAGUAGCACCGGAGAAGAAUAUAGACUUUGACUGCUUCUUAUGCUGCCAUUCUUUAGUAACUCAGCUACCAGCUUCUCUAUCUCUUCCUUUUGGUAAUAAGGGUAGUUGUAGGGCCUAACACAAAUGGGUUUAGUUCCUUCCAAUACUUUAAUUUUGUGAUCAAAAUUCCUGGGAGGUGGCAACCCAAUAGGCUCGGCAAAGACCUUUUUAGAAUUGUCCAGAAUUUUCUGUACCUUUGUUGGUUGUGUUAUUCUGCCUUUACCAUUAUUACCAUCCAUGAUUUGCAACCAAAUUUCUCUCACCGAUCCCUCCAUAGGUUCAACAGUAGGAUCUUCCUCCACAAUAUUGUUCACUAGUCUCUGAAUCCCCUGCAACUGGACUGCUUGACCUCUAUACUGAAACUUCAUGGUUAAAUUAGAGAAAUUCCAUAAAAUAGAUCCUAACCCACUUAACCAAUCAACCCCCACAACUACAUCACAUCCUCCAAGAUUCAACAUAUAUAAAUUAGCCAUAAACUUAUGAUCUUGUAACGUAAGAGAGACAGCCUUACAUUGACCAAGGCAAGGAAGAGUGGCACCAUUAGCCACCUGAACUAUUAAGUGCCUUUCUUUUUUUGACAGAUUAGCCUUCCUUGUUACAUAUGGAUCUAUAAAACUAUAUGUGCUUCCUAUAUCAAUCAAAACCAGAACUUUGUGAUGAUUUAUUUCAUCAAACAACCUCAUGGUUUUUGGGGUUAAUGAUCCAGCUAUAGCAUGUAGGGAUAUUCUUAGCAACUCCCCAACCUCUCAUUCAUUGGUUCCAAUCACAACCAAGCAUUCCUCCUCCCCUUCAGCACCCACGUUGUCCUUUUCUUCUCAUUCCAUCCCUUCCAAAAGGUAUUUUAGGUUUAUUACAUCUAUGUCCUGGGUGGUAUUUUUCAUCACAAAACCAGCAUAGUCCCUUUUCUUUCCUUUCCUGCAUUUGAGUGGGAUUGACUCUCUUUAUGGGGAAAUUGGUUCCUUUUGGAUUGUUGAAAGGUUGAUGUUUCUGGUUGGUUUUAUUUGGUGGGGCUGGCAGUCUAAGUGUAGGGGCUGGCGUCGGGAGUCUAGAUGGGUAAUGUGAGUUGGUGGUUGGGUAGGUAGGGAAUUUAUUUAUGUUGCCUUUGACACGCCUUAAUACCUCCUCUUCCUGUAACCUUGCCAAGCCAAAAGCAGAUGAUAGAGUGAAAGGUUUAAACAUAGUCACAGUGAUUCUCAAGUCAUCUGUUAGCCCACUCAAAAAGGUACUGAUUCUAAACUCUUCAGAUAAGCCACUUAUUUUGUUAGAUAGCAUUUCAAAUUGUGUUUGAUAUGUUUCAACAGUACCAGUUUUUUUAAGUUUAGCGAAUUCCCCAACAGGAUCCUCGUAGGCUGAGGGUCCAAAUCUCACUACUAGGGCUGAAACAAAGUCAUCCCAGGAUUGGACUGGGCUUAAAUCCUUCAGCUAGCUACACCAUGAGAGUGUUUUACCUUCCAUGUGAAAUAAUGCUAUUUGUAAUCUUUGGUCAUUUGGGGUUCUAUAAUAUUCAAAAAACUGUUGUGCUUUUUGAGUCCAUUCCUCUGGAUUAGUACCAUCAAAUUUAGGGAAAUCCAGUCUUAAAGAUCUAGCUUGAAUGCCCCCAUUCCCUUCAAACAAAGGAUUGUUAUUGACCUUAGAAUUAGAAGACCCUUUUCCUGAAUUCUGAUUUGCUGCCAAAUGUUCAUAGCUAGAAGCCAAAUUACUGGUUUGCUGAAGAACUACAGCUAACAUGUCCUUUUGCCGUUCUUUGCUCUUCACGCAGGUUGUUGUUCUCUCCUUUGAGGGUUGCGAUAUCAUCAGCCAAUUGAGCGUGGCGAGUACAAUUAGCCAUGGUGCCAGAAACCUAGCUUUGAUACCACUGUUAUUUCCCAAAAUUAUACGUAACAGUAAGUAAAUAAAUGGAUGAUAAUUGGAGGUUACCAGGCCUCCUGUAAUCUGUAAAUUUGAUUAAACUGAUGAUGAUCUUUUUAUUGAGUUGAAAUAGUAUAAGUAGGCCACGAACAAUGACCUGUUACACGACGUGGGGGCAUAGCCCAUUACUUACGAAAAUAAACAAUUGACCCA